rnacentral:rRNA from 1 species
UUCUAGCUAGACUCCAAGUCACAGUGCUACUAAUAUCUUAUUGAGCCCUUAUUGAUCAACGGACCAAGUUACCCUAGGGAGGACAGCAGCA